rnacentral:rRNA from 1 species
GACGAACGCUGGCGGCGUGCUUAACACAUGCAAGUCGAACGGAAAGGCCCUGCUUUUGUGUGGUGCUCGAGUGGCGAACGAGCGAGUAACAAGUGAGUAACCUGCCCUUGACUUUGGGAUAACUUCAGGCAACUGGGGCUAAUAACGGAUAGGAGCUCCUGCUGCAUGGUGGGGGUGGGAAAGUUUCGGCGGUUGGGGAUGGGCUCGCGGCUUAUCAGCUUGUUGGUGGGGUAGUGGCUUACCAAGGCUUUGACGGGUAGCCGGCCUGAGAGGGUGACCGGCCACAUGGGGACUGAGAUACGGCCCAGACUCCUACGGGAGGCAGCAGUGGGGAAGAUUGCACAAUGGGCGGAAGCCUGAUGCAGCAACGCCGCGUGCGGGAUGACGGCCUUCGGGUUGUAAACCGCUUUCGCCUGUGACGAAGCGUGAGUGACGGUAAUGGGUAAAGAAGCACCGGCUAACUACGUG